UUGAGAAACUGAUGUGACUCCAUUUUUGAGAAACCAGCCUCUACAUCAAAGCUUGUCUAAGGAAGGGGGCGUGACCCUUGUCCUUGGAAAAAACCCACAGACCACUCCUAGGCACAUACCCACCCUGCUGAGUUGUUUGUCUGCAAAUUAACAGGAGACACCAGGUAUCCCUGACUCAGUUAGGCUAGGUGAGGACCCAUAGCAACCCCCAAGCAACCACCAAUCAGCAUGAGACAGGGAAAAUACCAGAUGACCCCCUAGUAUUUUAUGGUGGUUGAUAACAUGUUGGGAAACCAUGUAGUUUAGCACAUACACCCCUCACGGAUUAAACCAACCAGUUCAAACAAAUUCCCCUCUUGUAUUAACCAAUCACCCUUACCCAACUUGUUCCCGCCAGUGAAUGUGCAAAUCAAUGUUAAGAGUUGUUGUUUGACUUUCCUGAGGUGUAAAAUGAUUUGCUAUGUGAUGUUGUGACGCAUAGAGUAUCCCCCAAAAAUCUAUAAAUCCUCAUUGAACAAAGGACUGGGACUCACUCCUCCAUACCUUUGUGUCAGAAACAGUUGUGAGUCCAGGCUCGAGCUUGCAAUAAAGACUCUUGUGUGAUUGCAUCGGAUUUGGCUCCUGGAAGUCUAUUGGGGUCCUACGAAUCUGGCAUUAUACUAUUAUCAGAGUAAUAGUAGUGUUGCUGUUAGUAUUAUUCAGAAUGAAUUAUUUUAUUUAAAAAGAAUCUUAGUUAAUACAGAAAAUUAUUAGCCAGAAAUAGUAUCUUGAGUGAAAGACCUUUAGAACAAAUAUAGUCACCUCUUGAUAUUCCAGGACCCCCUAAGGAUACCAAAAUAUGCAGAUGCCCAAAAUCCUUAUAUAAAUGGAAUAGUAUUUGGGCUGGGGUUGUAGCUCAGUGGUAGAGCUCUUGCCUAGCACAUGUGAGGUCCUGAGUUCAAUUCUCAGCACCACAUAUAAAUAAAUAAAAUAAAUGUAUUGUGUCCACCUACAAUUAAAAAAAUAUAUUAAUUAAAUAAAUAAAUGGAAUAGUAUUUGCUUAUGACCUAUAUACAUCUUCCUGUGGAUUUUAAAUCAUCU
rnacentral:lncRNA from 1 species